GAAAUGCGAUAAGUAAUGUGAAUUGCAGAAUUCAGUGAAUCAUCGAAUCUUUGAACGCAUCUUGCGCUCCUUGGUAUUCUGAGGAGCAUGCCUGUUUGAGUGUCAGCAAAUUCUCAAAAGUCCUUUGAUUUGUUUUGGAGGGCCUUUGGACAUUGGGAGCUGCAGGUUUAUGAAGCCAGCUCUCCUUAAAUGAAUUAGCAGAGAAUAAGGUGAUUAUCUGUUGGUGUGAUAAAAUCAUUUGCACCAUGAAGCCCUUUAUGAUCUCUGCUUUGUAAUAUAUCUCUGUCUUUGAGAUAUUAAUUAACUGACUUGACCUCAAAUCAGGUAGGAUUACCCGCUGAACUUAA
rnacentral:rRNA from 1 species